rnacentral:tRNA from 1 species
GGCGUCGUGGCCGAGUGGCUGAGGCAGGGGCCUGCAAAGCCCUCCACGUGGGUUCGAUUCCCACCGACGCCU